UAGUCCACGCCGUAAACGAUGGACACUAGUUGUUGGAUUUAUUCAGUGACUAAGCGAAAGUGAUAAGUGUCCCACCUGGGGAGUACGAUCGCAAGAUUGAAACUCAAAGGAAUUGACGGGGGCCCGCACAAGCGGUGGAGCAUGUGGUUUAAUUCGAUGAUACGCGAGGAACCUUACCAGGGCUUAAAUGUAGGAUGCAUUAGGUAGAGAUACUUAUUUCUUCGGACUUCUUACAAGGUGCUGCAUGGUUGUCGUCAGCUCGUGCCGUGAGGUGUCAGGUUAAGUCCUAUAACGAGCGCAACCCCUGUCGUUAGUUGCCAGCAAGUAAAGUUGGGGACUCUAACGAGACUGCCGGUGCAAACCGCGAGGAAGGUGGGGAUGACGUCAAAUCAUCACGGCCCUUACGUCCUGGGGCUACACACGUACUACAAUGGGUAUGGGACAGAGAGCAGCCACUGCGUGAGCAGGGAGC
rnacentral:rRNA from 1 species